UACGUAGGGAGCGAGCGUUGUCCGGAAUUACUGGGUUUAAAGGGUGCGCAGGCGGCGUGUCAGGUCAGCGGUAAAAUGUCGGGGCUCAACCCCGGCCGGCCGUUGAAACUGGCGUGCUCGAGUUGGAGAGAAGUAUGCGGAAUUCGUGGUGUAGCGGUGAAAUGCAUAGAUAUCACGAAGAACCCCGAUUGCGAAGGCAGCAUACCGGCUCCACACUGACGCUGAGGCACGAAAGCGUGGGUAUCGAACAGG
rnacentral:rRNA from 1 species